AUCCUCAGCCAGGUAUGUUAUGAGUGAUCCUCAGCCAGGUAUGUUGUGAGUGAUCCUCAGCCAGGUAUGUUGUGAGUGAUCCUCAGCCAGGUAUGUUGUGAGUGAUCCUCAGCCAGGUAUGUUAUGAGUGAUCCUCAGCCAGGAAUGUUAUGAGUGAUCCUCAGCCAGGUAUGUUAUGAGUGAUCCUCAGCCAGGUAUGUUAUGAGUGAUCCUCAGCCAGGUAUGUUAUGAGUGAUCCUCAGCCAGGUAUGUUAUGAGUGAUCCUCAGCCAGGUAUGUUAUGAGUGAUCCUUAGCCAGGUAUGUCAUGAGUGAUGUAAAGAGUAAUUCAGAGUCCACAGACACAGAGUCUGGUGGCGUUAUUG